rnacentral:tRNA from 1 species
GGGGUUGUGGCUCAGUGGUAGAGCGCUUGCACAGCAUGUAUGAGGCACUGGGUUCGAUCCCCAGUGCCACA